rnacentral:rRNA from 1 species
AGAGUUUGAUCAUGGCUCAGAUUGAACGCUGGCGGCAUGCCUAACACAUGCAAGUCGAACGGCAGCACAGCAGAGCUUGCUCUGUGGGUGGCGAGUGGCGGACGGGUGAGUAAUGCAUCGGGACCUACCCAGACGUGGGGGAUAACGUAGGGAAACUUACGCUAAUACCGCAUACGUCCUACGGGAGAAAGCGGGGGACCUUCGGGCCUCGCGCGGUUGGACGGACCGAUGUUCGAUUAGCUAGUUGGUAGGGUAAUGGCCUACCAAGGCGACGAUCGAUAGCUGGUCUGAGAGGAUGAUCAGCCACACUGGAACUGAGACACGGUCCAGACUCCUACGGGAGGCAGCAGUGGGGAAUAUUGGACAAUGGGCGCAAGCCUGAUCCAGCAAUGCCGCGUGUGUGAAGAAGGCCUUCGGGUUGUAAAGCACUUUUAUCGGGAACGAAAUACUACGGGUUAAUAACCUGUGGGGCUGACGGUACCCGAGGAAUAAGCACCGGCUAACUUCGUGCCAGCAGCCGCGGUAAUACGAAGGGUGCAAGCGUUAAUCGGAAUUACUGGGCGUAAAGGGUGCGUAGGCGGUUGUUUAAGUCUGUUGUGAAAUCCCCGGGCUCAACCUGGGAAUGGCAAUGGAUACUGGACAGCUAGAGUGUGUCAGAGGAUGGUGGAAUUUCCGGUGUAGCGGUGAAAUGCGUAGAGAUCGGAAGGAACAUCAGUGGCGAAGGCGGCCAUCUGGGACAACACUGACGCUGAAGCACGAAAGCGUGGGGAGCAAACAGGAUUAGAUACCCUAGUAGUCC